UAAGAGCGUGCAUCUUAGUUAGGCGUCCACACUUAUCGGUUUGUUUGAUGUUACAGCCAAGGGUCUGUAGCUCAGGUGGUUAGAGCACCGUCUUGAUAAGGCGGGGGUCGUAGGUUCAAGUCCUACCAGACCCACCAAGUUACGGGCGGCGGAGAGCGAUCUUGCCGUGAACUGGGGGAUUAGCUCAGCUGGGAGAGCACCUGCUUUGCAAGCAGGGGGUCGUCGGUUCGAUCCCGUCAUCCUCCACCAACACCUUGUGGUAGCCAAACGCAAGCAUCGAGAGAUCGGUGUUUGCGUUUGGCAUUGCCAAGACGAGUAGUAACUCGGCUGUUCUUUAACAAUAUGGAAUGUAGUAAAGGUGUCGCGGCGCGUUGAUGAGGCGCGCAAUUUAAACGCGACACUGGGUUGUGAUUGUAUCAACCAGUAUUACGAGUGAUCGAAAGACCGCUUGGAAUACGGCACAACGCGAGAACUCAGC
rnacentral:tRNA from 1 species